rnacentral:misc_RNA from 1 species
AACCAUAGAAACCUGCGGAGUACCUGCGGAGGGAUCAUUCAAGGAUUAUUAUAUUGUUGUAUAUAUGAAGGGUUGUUUUACAUGUGGUGUUUUAACUGGGUGUAACACACCUUUUAUAUAUACACAAUAUUACUUUUACACCUAACUAAUGUUUUGUGGGGGGUGGUGAGUAGGUAGGAGUCAUUGAUAAAGAGAUGUUUUACAGCUUUGUUUGUAAUGCAUCUUUUUUCAAAGGCUUUU